GACGAACGCUGGCGGCGUGCUUAACACAUGCAAGUCGAACGAAGAGCGAUGGAAGCUUGCUUCUAUCAAUCUUAGUGGCGAACGGGUGAGUAACGCGUAAUCAACCUGCCCUUCAGAGGGGGACAACAGUUGGAAACGACUGCUAAUACCGCAUACGAUCUAAUCUCGGCAUCGAGGAUAGAUGAAAGGUGGCCUCUACAUGUAAGCUAUCACUGAAGGAGGGGAUUGCGUCUGAUUAGCUAGUUGGAGGGGUAACGGCCCACCAAGGCGAUGAUCAGUAGCCGGUCUGAGAGGAUGAACGGCCACAUUGGGACUGAGACACGGCCCAGACUCCUACGGGAGGCAGCAGUGGGGAAGCUUCCGCAAUGGACGAAAGUCUGACGGAGCAACGCCGCGUGAGUGAUGACGGCCUUCGGGUUGUAAAGCUCUGUUAAUCGGGACGAGAGGCCUUCUUGCGAAUAGUGAGAAGGAUUGACGGUACCGGAAUAGAAAGCCACGGCUAACUACGUG
rnacentral:rRNA from 1 species